rnacentral:lncRNA from 1 species
UUCUGGCUGCUGAAUUCCCCCACGUUCCUCCCACCUGCAGGACAAUGGGCUCCUGUGAAACCAUUGGCAGAAGUCCUGGCUAUGAGACAUAUUCAAGUCCCUCCUGAUUUCUUCUCUUUGUGUUUCAGACGCUUUAACAGGAGAGACCUCAUAUUCACACAGAGAGGUGCUCUACAUAAGGAGCUGCAGACCCCCACCCCCCCGGCUCCGCUGUCUGAUACCGGGUCAUCACGGAGGAGCGAACCACGGAAGUGAACCCCGUCUCGCGCUCCCACGGAACAACAUGGUUCUGAGGUUAAUGUGCAUCUGACCUUUGACCUUUUCUCCCUUCACGGUUCAGCGACUGUAAUCUCGGCCUCCUGGCGAACUGUGAAACGCAGCCGCGCCUGCAGGGACCGAGCUUCCACUGAAACCAGGAGCAAAGGUGUAAAUAACGUGCUUGUGCGUCCUCCAGACGCUUUGCGCCUCCAGUGCUGCGUAGCUGUCAGCGACUCUUUCAGGACAAACUUUUCUAAACCUCCGUCUGUCUCUGUGGGCACCGCCGCCCAGUUCAGCCUCCACUCCACAUCGUGUGCUGAUUCUCCACCAACAUGCUGCAGGAACUGUGCAGUCCGCGCGUGUAGCGGCUGCAGAUCAACCUGGCGGAGCUGUGAUCACUGCCUGCAGCAGCACACAUGUUAACUGCUGGUCAUGAUGACAUGAAGCGGAAACGCAAAGCGAAGAGGCGCCUGCUUCUCUGUGGUCCACACGGAUCACAACGCAAACCUGGGGCUGAAGACUCAGGAGGAAAACGUUGACCCAGAGAUGAAAGCAGAAGCACUGGGUCAGAAAGUUCCCGCUGUGGUAAAAAGACCUGACACGGGUUGAGUAGCAUGAACAGAACCAUUCUGCUCCAUCUGCUAACGAGCUGUGUAUUAAACAUGCUGCCUUCACUACAGUUACAUGUAAAUGCUUUAUCUUUAUAGCUGGACAGUUGUGAAUAAAAUUUGGAUUUGAAUUUAAAUACUAUAGGCG